GCCGCUUUGGCGCAGUGGUAGCGCGUCUGUCUUGUACAUAGUACGAGUCAACAGAAGGUCGGGUGUUCAAUCCACCCAAGUGGCA